UGGGGAGCUCUCCCAUAUGGUCGACCUGCAGGCGGCCGCGAAUUCACUAGUGAUUCGUAUUACCGCGGCUGCUGGCACAGAGUUAGCCGGUGCUUAUUCUGUCGGUAACGUCAAAACAGCAAAGUAUUAAUUUACUGCCCUUCCUCCCAACUUAAAGUGCUUUACAAUCCGAAGACCUUCUUCACACACGCGGCAUGGCUGGAUCAGGCUUUCGCCCAUUGUCCAAUAUUCCCCACUGCUGCCUCCCGUAGGAGUCUGGACCGUGUCUCAGUUCCAGUGUGACUGAUCAUCCUCUCAGACCAGUUACGGAUCGUCGCCUUGGUGAGCCAUUACCCCACCAACUAGCUAAUCCGACCUAGGCUCAUCUGAUAGCGCAAGGCCCGAAGGUCCCCUGCUUUCUCCCGUAGGACGUAUGCGGUAUUAGCGUCCGUUUCCGAACGUUAUCCCCCACUACCAGGCAGAUUCCUAGGCAUUACUCACCCGUCCGCCGCUCUCAAGAGAAGCAAGCUUCUCUCUACCGCUCGACUUGCAUGUGUUAGGCCUGCCGCCAGCGUUCAAUCUGAGCCAUGAUCAAACUCUAAUCGAAUUCCCGCGGCCGCCAUGGCGGCCGGGAGCAUGCGACGGCGGGCCCA
rnacentral:rRNA from 1 species